CAGUGCACCGUGGGACAUACCAUAUGUUCGUCUUGCCGUGACAAGCUCCGAGACAAGUGUUGCCUCUGCUCCCUUCCCACAGUCUACAAUCGCUGCCACAUGGUCGAAAAGAUGGUUGAAUCUAUCAAACUUGCUUGCUCCAACUGUAGUCACGGAUGCACAGCAAGGAUAGCCUACUACCAGAAAGAAGAGCAUGAGAAAGGUUGUCAACAUGCGCCAUGUUUCUGCCCUGAAACUGGCUGCAGCUUCAGUGGACCAACCAAAGUGCUCCUGGAGCAUUUCUUAGGCGAGCACGAUUGGUGCUAUGGGGAAAAGGAUCUUAGGUACGGCAAAACGUACAGGAUCAAGACGUUGCUGGGAGUCCGGGGACCAACUGUCUUGAUGGGUAAUGACGGGCACCUCUUCCUGGUCAACAUGACAAUGGAGUCCCUCGGCGGUGUCAUCUCAGUUUGCUGCGUUGAGCCUCACAUUAAUGGAUCCAGGUUCAAGUGCAGGCUGGCAUUGUCGUGCGGCGAACCAAGCUACUCCCAGACUACGGAGUUCUUAACGAGUAGCACUAAUCUGCGUGAUGGGUUUCCUAAAGAUUGCUUCCUGUUCCUUGUGCCAAAGGUGUUGCUUGGAGACACCGGUACAAACCCCGCAGCCACGGUGUGUGUGACCCUCAAGCCACAGUAA
rnacentral:rRNA from 1 species